rnacentral:rRNA from 1 species
AUUGAACGCUGGCGGAAUGCUUUACACAUGCAAGUCGAACGGUAGAGGGGGCAACCCCUCGAGAGUGGCGAACGGGUGAGUAAUAUAUCGGAACGUGCCCAGUCGUGGGGGAUAACGUAGCGAAAGUUACGCUAAUACCGCAUACGAUCUAAGGGUGAAAGCGGGGGAUCGCAAGACCCCGCGCGAUUGGAGCGGCCGAUAUCAGAUUAGGUAGUUGGUGGGGUAAAGGCUCACCAAGCCAACGAUCUGUAGCUGGUCUGAGAGGACGACCAGCCACACUGGAACUGAGACACGGUCCAGACUCCUACGGGAGGCAGCAGUGGGGAAUUUUGGACAAUGGACGCAAGUCUGAUCCAGCCAUUCCGCGUGCAGGAUGAAGGCCCUCGGGUUGUAAACUGCUUUUGUACGGAACGAAAAGGUCUCUCUUAAUACGGGGGACUCAUGACGGUACCGUAAGAAUAAGCACCGGCUAACUACGUGCCAGCCGCCGCAGUAA